rnacentral:tRNA from 1 species
UUCUAUUGUGGCAGAAUUAUUAUGCAAUGAACUUAAAAUUCAUUUAUAAAUAUAAAUAUUUCUUUAGAAAUU